rnacentral:rRNA from 1 species
GACGAACGCUGGCGGCGUGCCUAAUACAUGCAAGUAGAACGCUGAAGGAGGAGCUUGCUUCUCCGGAUGAGUUGCGAACGGGUGAGUAACGCGUAGGUAACCUGCCUGGUAGCGGGGGAUAACUAUUGGAAACGAUAGCUAAUACCGCAUAAGAGUAGAUGUUGCAUGACAUUUGCUUAAAAGGUGCAAUUGCAUCACUACCAGAUGGACCUGCGUUGUAUUAGCUAGUUGGUGGGGUAACGGCUUACCAAGGCGACGAUACAUAGCCGACCUGAGAGGGUGAUCGGCCACACUGGGACUGAGACACGGCCCAGACUCCUACGGGAGGCAGCAGUAGGGAAUCUUCGGCAAUGGACGGAAGUCUGACCGAGCAACGCCGCGUGAGUGAAGAAGGGUUUCGGAUCGUAAAGCUCUGUUGUAAGAGAAGAACGAGUGUGAGAGUGGAAAGUUCACACUGUGACGGUAUCUUACCAGAAAGGGACGGCUAACUACGUG